rnacentral:rRNA from 1 species
GUACUACGAGUACCGGGGUGCCGAAGUGAAAACGUGAAACGUGCCGCUGGGAAGUACGGUCGCAAGGCUGAAACUAAAGGAAUGGGCGGGGGAGCACCACAACGGGUGGAGCUGCGGUUAAUUGGACUCAACGCCGGGCAGCUCACCGGAUAGGACAGCGGAAUGAUAGCCGGGCUGAAGACCUUGCUUGACCAGCUGAGAGGAGGUGCAUGGCCGUCGUCAGUUCGUACUGUGAAGCAUCCUGUUUAGUCAGGCAACGAGCGAGACCCACGCCAACAGUUGCUAGCAUGUUCUCCGGAAUGAUGAGGAAAAAAAAAAAAAACGCCUCUGCUAAAGAGGAGGAAGGAAUGGGCAACGGUAGGUCAGCAUGCCCCGAAUUAUCCGGGCUACACGCGGGCUACAAUGGUCAGGACAAUGGGAAACGGCACUGAAAAGUGUAGUCAAUCUCCUAAACCUGUCCCAAGUUCGGAUUGUGGGCUGCAACUCGCCCACAUGAAGCUGGAAUCCGUAGUAAUCGCGUUUCAAAAUAGCGCGGUGAAUAAGU